GGUCAAGCUACUAAGGGCUCACGGUGGAUGCCUUGGCGCCAAGGGCCGAAGAAGGGCGUGGCAAGACUGCGAUAAGCCUCGGUGAGCCGUCUAGCUGGCGUAGCCGGGGAUGCCCGAAUGGGGAAACCCCUUCGACCAAAGGUCGAUGACCCCUGGCCGAACCCUUAAGCCAGGGGGGGUAAGUGGGAGAACUGAAACAUCUCAGUACCCUGAGGAAAAUAAAUCAACCGAGAUUCCCCUAGUAGUGGCGAACGAACGGGGAACAGCCUAAACCUGAGAGGCUUCACGGCCUGGGGGCCCAUGUCUUUCAGGUGUUGCAAGACUCAUCGGUUCCGACCCCAGUCGGGACAAGGAGUAAGAAACCUCUUCUCUAGCUGAAGGUCUCUGGAACGGGCCAUCGUAGAGGGUGAGAAUCCCGUAGGCGAAAGAGAGAAGGCUCCUGAUGGUGUUCUUAAGUACCGCGGGACACGUGGAAUCCUGCGGGAACCUGGGGGGACCACCCUCCAAGGCUAAAUACCCUUGGCGACCGAUAGUGAACUAGUACCGUGAGGGAAAGGUGAAAAGCACCCCGGGAGGGGAGUGAAAUAGACCUGAAACCGUGAGCCUACAACCCGUCGGAGUCCCGAUGCAAAUCGGGAUGACGGCGUGCCUAUUGAAGAAUGAACCGGGGAGUUACUCAGGCGUAGCAAGGUUAAUCUGCUCAGCAGAGGAGCCGUAGCGAAAGCGAGUCCGAAUAGGGCGAAUAGUUGCGUCUGGUAGACCCGAAACUGGGUGAUCUACCCAUGGCCAGGGUGAAGCCCCGAUAAUAUCGGGGUGGAGGCCCGAACCCAUUAUUAGUACAAAAAUACGGGAUGAGCUGUGGGUAGCGGUGAAAUGCCAAACGAACCCAGAGAUAGCUGGUUCUCCCCGAAAUGCAUUUAGGUGCAGCCUUGGAGUUGACUUGCGGAGGUAGGGCACUGGAUGGGCUAGGGGGCGUGAGCUUACCAAACCCAACCAAACCACGAAUGCCACAAGAUCGCACUCCAGGAGUGAGACGGCGGGGGAUAAGCUCCGUCGUCGAGAGGGAAACAGCCCAGACCACCGGCUAAGGCCCCCAAGUGCAGGCUUAGUGUGCAAGGAAGUAGGACCGCUAAAACAGCCAGGAGGUUGGCUUAGAAGCAGCCAUCCUUUGAAGAGUGCGUAACAGCUCACUGGUCGAGGGGUCCUGCGCCGACAACGUAACGGGGCUCAAGCCUGCCGCCGAAGCCGUGGAAUCUCGCGCAAGCGGGAUUGGUAGGGGAGCGUCCUGCGUGCAGCGAAGCUUCACCGUAAGGUGGGGUGGAGCGCGCAGAAGUGAGAAUCCCGGUAUGAGUAGCGUAUAUGCAGAUGAAAAUUCUGCACGCCGAAAGUCCAAGGUUUCCUACGCAACGUCCUUCGACGUAGGGUUAGUCGGUCCUAAGCCGAGGCCGCAAGGCGCAGGCGAUGGACAGUAGGUCAAGAUUCCUACACCACCUGUAUCUCGCUUAAAGCAAAGGCGGAACGCGGGAAGGUAGGUGGAGCGCACCCAUUGGACAUGGUGCGUCCUACCCUGUAGGCCAUGCCAGAGCAGGCAAAUCCACUCUGGCGCUACGAGCUGAGGGGGGAGGAAACUCCAGGGUCUCCCUGGGGGAUUCCACUGAUCCUAUACUGUCAAGAAAAGCGUCGUUGCUAUGGGGUAUGGGUGACCGUACCGUAAACCGACACUGGUAGACAGGGAUAAACGUCCCAAGGCGGUCGAGAGAACUCUCGUUAAGGAACUCGGCAAAAGGACCCCGUAACUUCGGGAUAAGGGGUGCCCAUAGGGUGAAACCCGCUAGCCGGGUGGAGCCUGCGUGGGUCUCAGCAAAUUGGCUCAAGCGGCUGUUUAACAAAAACACAGGUCUCUGCAAAGAGGAAACUCUAAGUAUAGGGGCUGAUGCCUGCCCAGUGCCGGUAGGUUAAGGGGAGGAGUUAGGAAUCUCGCAAGAGAGACCAAAGCCCUGAACUGAAGCCCCGGUGAACGGCGGCCGUAACUAUAACGGUCCUAAGGUAGCGAAGUCCCUUGUCGGGUAAGUUCCGACCCGCACGAAUGGCCUAACGACUUGAGCGCUGUCUCAACGAGAGACUCGGCGAAGUUGCACUGCCCGUGAAGAUGCGGGCUACCCGCGACCGGACAAAAAGACCCCGUGGAGCUUUACUGCAUCUUGGCAUUGGACUGGAAACAGGGAUGUGUAGGAUAGGUGGGAGGCUUUGAAGCCCCGGCGCUAGUCGGGGUGGAGCCAACGGUGAAAUACCACUCUUCUCUUCUUCUGGCCCUAACCCUGGAUAGGCCAGGAAACAGUGCCUGGUGGGCAGUUUGACUGGGGCGGUCGCCUCCCAAAAUGUAACGGAGGCGCCCAAAGGUCCCCUCAAGGCGGAUGGAAAUCGCCUGUGGAGUGCAUUGGCAUAAGGGGGCUUGACUGCGAGACCAACAAGUCGAGCAGGUGCGAAAGCAGGGCAAAGUGAUCCUACGGUUCUGUGAGGAAGGGCCGUGGCUUAUCGGAUAAAAGCUACCCCGGGGAUAACAGGCUGAUCUUGCCCAAGAGUUCAUAUCGACGGCAAGGUUUGGCACCUCGAUGUCGGCUCGUCGCAUCCUGGGGCUGAAGAAGGUCCCAAGGGUCCGGCUGUUCGCCGGUUAAAGCGGCACGCGAGCUGGGUUCAGAACGUCGUGAGACAGUUCGGUCUCUAUCCGUCGUGGGCGCAGGAGAUUUGAGGAGGGCUCUCCCUAGUACGAGAGGACCGGGAGGGACGGACCUCUGGUGUGCCGGUUGUUCCGCCAGGAGCAGUGCCGGGUAGCCACGUCUGGUCGAGAUAAGCGCUGAAAGCAUCUAAGCGCGAAGCCCACUCCAAGAUUAGAUCUCCCAUCCUUCCCGCAGGGGAAGGAGUAAGGCCACAGGAAGACUACCUGUUUGAUAGGCCGCGAGUGGAAGACCUGUAAGGGUUUAAGCUUAGCGGUACUAAUCGGCCGAGGGCUUGACCCA
rnacentral:rRNA from 1 species